CAGGCCUAACACAUGCAAGUCGAACGGGCACUUCGGUGUCAGUGGCAGACGGGUGAGUAACACGUGGGAACGUGCCCUUCGGUUCGGAAUAACUCAGGGAAACUUGAGCUAAUACCGGAUACGCCCUUUUGGGGAAAGGCUUGCUGCCGAAGGAUCGGCCCGCGUCUGAUUAGCUAGUUGGUGGGGUAACGGCCUACCAAGGCGACGAUCAGUAGCUGGUCUGAGAGGAUGAUCAGCCACACUGGGACUGAGACACGGCCCAGACUCCUACGGGAGGCAGCAGUGGGGAAUAUUGGACAAUGGGGGCAACCCUGAUCCAGCCAUGCCGCGUGAGUGAUGAAGGCCUUAGGGUUGUAAAGCUCUUUUAUCCGGGACGAUAAUGACGGUACCGGAGGAAUAAGCCCCGGCUAACUUCGUGCCAGCAGCCGCGGUAAU
rnacentral:rRNA from 1 species